rnacentral:rRNA from 1 species
GUCCUGGCUGUAAACGGUGCACGUUUGCUGUAAAAGGAAUCGACCCCUUUUGUGGCGAAGCUAACGCGAUAAACGUGCCGCCUGGGAAGUACGGUCGCAAGAUUAAAACUCAAAGAAAUUGACGGGGGCCUGCACAAGCGGUGGAGUAUGUGGCUCAAUUCGAUGCAACGCGAAGAACCUUACCUGGCCUUGACAUGCAAGUAGUAGGAGGAUGAAAGUCCGACGAGGUAGCAAUACCAGCUUGCACAGGUGCUGCAUGGCUGUCGU